rnacentral:lncRNA from 1 species
UGUAAACAGAAGGUAGGCUGGCAAAAUCUUCAUCUUCUACUUUUGUUUUUUUAUUUACUUUGAUAAGUCUCCAUCUUCUUUUUAAUUGUAUUUCAUAAUGUUCUACUUGGCAAUAAAAUGAACCUUUCCCUUUCGUUCGUGCAAUUCAGAAAUGAACAUAUGCGGUAAUCAAUGUUUUCUUAAAAAAGCUUAAUUUUUAUAGGUAAAAUGACAUUACAUCCCUUUACUUCUGAUAUAUCAAUCAUUUUAACCAACACGAAAAUCUAUCUCCAUUUCUUUGACUUGAUGUUAGUAAUUUGUUAGCCUCGGUUUACAUUCUGUAGUUCAUUGCUUUCCCCAUCCUUUGCAGGUUCCUUCAUUUGCAGACGGUGAUGAUGAGAGUAAGGAUGAUACUUCUGAAGAAAGUGAUGAAGAAGAGCCUCAAAAGAAAAAAAAAAUCAAGGUCUGGAUAUGUUUCAUUCAUGAUAUUUUAACUUGUAUUUCAUUUUAGUUCAUUGUCUAACAAUUGUGUUUCACAGCCCUCUAGCAUAUCCCUAGUCUAACAAUUGGAUUUAACUAGAAAAGUCAUUUUUCCUUGCAAAUAUUUUCGAUUAAAAAUCUAGUCAUAAUAUAGAUAGUAAUUAGCUAGGGACCAUUCCUUGCUAAAACAUAGCUAGAGAUUUUCCCAAGCCAAAUUUAUAGCUAAUUUUUACGGGGAAUCCUAAUUUGGCGCUAAAUUUAGUUUUCCAAAAGAUCAUAGGUUAGAUAGGGACACAUUCCGUAGCAAAUCCCUAGCAAUGUGUUAGCAAGGAACAUCUCCUAGCUAAUCUAUAGCUAAAUUUUAGAGGGAAAUCUAUUUUGGCGCUAAUUAUUUUUCCCGAAACUUUAUCUUUUAAGCUAGGAAUAUAUUCCAUUGCUAAUCCCUAGCAAAAAAGCCACUAAGGAUGUUUCCUUGCCAAAUCUACAGCUAAACUUUAGCGGGGCAUUCCAAUAUGUUGCUAAUCUUUUGUGUUAAAUUUGGUUAUUUAGCUAUGGCGAAUCAAAGUUAAUCUCAAGCAAAUUAUUAUUAUUAUGGCAAUUUAUUAAUUAGGAAUGUUUAAAUAUGAAAAUCUAUCAAAAUUGGCGGGGCCACAACCCACAUAUUUAAAAUAAUUUUUCUAUGUAUAAUUAAAAUGAUUGUUUUGUCCUGUCAUUAUUUCUUAUUCUAUCUCACCAUCCUAAUUAAAUUUGUGGAGAAGUCAUCUAGACUAUCUUUAAGAGGAUUUAGAAAUAAAAUAUGUUUUUGUAAAAGAAUCCAGAUUAGCUAGCUAGCGGGAAGGUGUAGCUAAUUUAUAACAAUUUAAAAUAAGUCCUUAUUAGAUAAUAAUAUUUAAAUCUCAAGCCAACCCUUUUUCUUAAAUUUAUAGGGUUGGCGCUAAAGAAAUUCAAUAAAAUCCCCCCCCCCCCCCCAAAAAAAAAAAAUUUCCCGGCAAACAUUUCCCCCAUUUACAAAGUACAAACAAUUCCCUCCUAAAAUCGAGACAUAAGUUCAUUAGGUUUUCCUUUUUGCCCACCUCCGCCGUGAUCUCCACAGACACUACCACCUCAUGCGUCAAAUUUCCCUCUAGCCUAAAAUUUGCAGGGACGUCUCAUUUUUUUUCUUUUGAAAUGUGCUCUAUGUCAGAGGCGGAUCCAGAAUUUGAGGCUUAUGAGUUCCUACCGUAAUUUCAAAUUAAUAUGCAAUAAUAACUGGGUUCACAGUUAGAUAUUUACAAAUAUUUAGUGAUUUUUUUAAUAUAAAUACAGAGUUUACGCAAGAGUUAUUGGGUUCCCGGAAACCCAUAUUCCAUGAUGCUCUACAUCCGCCCCUGCUCUAUGUGCCAAUACUUGCUUCAGUGAAAUACAACGAGGAAAAAGAAAAUCUCAAUAAUAUCAAAGUUCAAACACAAAGUUCAUUCGGGUUUGUUUCACAGUACUAGUCUUAAGUUUAAACUUACUUGUGUUCAGAUCCUAAACAUUUCUAUACUAGCAUUGCAUAUUUGCAAAAUUACUUUUGGGAUUGACCAUUGCAUAUUACCUGUUUGAUGGAAUGAAGUGAAAUUUGUUGGAUAAAUAGUAAGAAUUUGAAAGAAUUAGUAGGAAGCAUAAAUUUAGUAUCAAAUAUGGAUGGACAGAAAGCAAUAACGAGUGUUUGAAAAGGAAGUGAAGCAUUAAGAAGGUAUUUUCAUGAGAUGGAAAUUUCUGGACCUAUUUGGUUUGCCUUUUCUUAUAUGUCUUCAUAACUUGUUGGUGUGUAUGUAUAGUACAAUUUUCAGGUCCACCACAUCUUGCUUCAUUCCAUAGUAAAACUAUUAUUAUGUCCUUUUGUUGUCAAAUUACUUUCUUCUGUGCUUUUAUAUUUUUGUUUUGCAUUUGAAGUAUUAUAGUGUUACUUCCCAAUUAUGGAGUUCAAAAUGUUAGUCUAAGUUUUCUACUUAAGUUUGACAUAAAGUUUUUGUAGCAUAAAUGUAUACAUGCUUAUGACUUAAUGACAUACAUUGAGGCUUGGUAGAUGAAAGUAAAAUAUUUUGUUAUUUAUAAAGUUUGAUCCUAAAUGAUAUUAGGAGUCAGUAAAUUUGGCCAUUUAGCACCAUUCUAAAUGUAUGUAUCCAGUUAUUCCAUCUGCUAUAAGAGUGACUAAGUUGGACGUAGUUGGAUGGAGUUUCUUGAUAUUGCCUAGCAGUCAUGAAAUUAAAAUUAGUCAUCAAUUAAAGUUUAUAUUAUGCUCAAAAUUGACUGGCUAAAUUUGUUCAUAUUUUACUUCUUCUGGUUGGUUGAUGUGUUACUUCUUGUUAGAUUUUGAUCAGGAAGUAUGCUAAGAGGAAGAGGCACUAAAUGUAGUUGGGGAGGUCGUGGGGGCAUAACUAAUAAAGGCGGAGGAGGAUACCAACAACUACUGAAUAAUUCUCAAGCAGAUAUUAGUGAACUAUCAACCCCUACAUCUCAACAGGUAAGUUCAAACCAAUACAUCUAGUGUAAAGGUUGAAGACUUCAGAAGCGCCACGUAAAGACCCAAUGGAAGCUCAGGGAAGGCAUCUAUAACACCUUCAAUUGAGUUAACUGUACAUGGGUAUUGUUUAU